ACUUUUCAUAGUUUUGAUAGUGUUUUGAUCGUGUACAUUACUUUAUUCUGGCGGCAGGCGCUCGGCGCAGCCGCAGACGUCAGCGUCUGCGCGCACUCACGAGCUUAGAUGUUGCUGCUGGCUGCAUUUGGCUAGCGCUCACGAGCUUAGAUGUUGCUGCUGAAUUAAAACGUGUAAGAAACGCUCACAGGUUGCUUCAGGUUGAGUUGUGAUUUUAAAGUGUAGUUGUGGUCAGAGACGGAUGGAUCCUCCCAUUGUGUUUCUGUGGGUGAGUUUCACUGAUUGAUGGUGUUUACGCUUUACUUGCUGUGUGUAUGCUGUGCUUGUAGCGUUCAAACUGCCUAGCCUCCGACGAGUCACGAGACGACGACAUCCGUUGUGGCCUGGGUCCUAAGGAGAGCGAGAAAAUUGAGCCCUGUGCCCGGGGUGUGUCAACGAGAGCUUCGUUUGUCCAUAGAGCAGACAGUGGUGAAACCCAGUGAGUAUUAUCAAGAGUGUACCGUGCGGACGGUGGGUUGUAACGGUGUGUGUACUGACCUCUCCAACAGAAGCUCGUGGUGAGCGGAGCCCCGACGAAGGUUCGCCCCAACUCGUGACCCCGGUCGUGGAAGAAGGAGGGGGAGUUUGGGAAGCGUUCGGCUCCGUGUCAUCGGACCCACUAGUCCCUACGACGCCCGGACAGCCGGAGUGGAUGGGCGAAGGAAUACGGUGCACCGACACUGUAGCGAAAAUCCACUGUUUGCAGCAAUCACCUAUCUGUACAAGUGAAGCUCUGUGUGCAUGAAGAUCCCCAGUGCUGUGAGUAACGUAACCUGUGAAGUAAACCUGUUCUGUGCUUAUAGCGAUUACAUACCUGUACAAGUGAAGCUCUGUGUGAGUGAAGAUCCCCAGUGCUGUGAGUAACGUAACCUGUGAAGUAAACCUGUUCUGUGCUUAUAGCAAUUACCUACCUGUACAAGUGAAGCUCUGUGUGAGUGAAGAUCCCCAGUGCUGUGAGUAACGUAACCUGUGGAGUAAACCUGUUCUGUGCUUAUAGCAAUCACCUACCUGUACAAGUGAAGCUCUGUGUGAGCGAAGAUCCCCAGUGCUGUGAGUAACAUAACCUGUGAAGUAAACUGUUCUGUGCUUAUAGCAAUUACCUACCUGUGCAAGUGAAGCUCUGGGUGAACGAAGAUCCCCAGUGCUGUGAGUAACGUAACCUGUGAAGUGAAACUAUCUGUGCUUAUAGCAAUUACCUACCUGUGCAAGUGAAGGCUCCGUGUGAAGCGAAGGUCCCCAGUCCCUGUCCCAAGUGGCCCUGGAGGCGAGCAGAAGAACUAUUAGUUUUAAAUUGCCCAUUCCCCUUUCCCCCUUUUUCCCUUUCCUUUUUAAAUAUUUAAUAAAGUUUAUUUUAAACGUAGUUUACUCGUCUGUCUGGUCAUUGGGGUGGUCUUGGGAACCUCCUCGAGGUGGAAGAGUUGAGAGGGGCGUGACCUUUAGUCUAUUCGGGUCCGCCCCCGGCCGUGACAGAUUUGGCGUAGUCGGCAGGGUACCUCGGGUUGAGCGACCAAGGCCCUCCAAUGGCCGACGACGAGUUGCCCGAAGCCCCACCCCACGUUGUGCCCGAGAGGCUUGAAGCCCCCACCCUAAUCCCAUCCUCGUCGCCCCGCAGACCGUUCUCGGGACUAGAACGGUUUGGCAGGGGGGGAUGUCACCAGGUGACUAUGUAGGGCAGGAACAAGAAGUGGCGGAGAAGGGUUCCGCUUGGGUAUGGUUUCCACCCGGACCCGAUUUUAAAGGCACCAUUGUAUUUCCUGGUCUCCCUGACAACAAUAAUCACGAGAAAUGAGCAACAGGUGUGGCGAAUCAGUGGAGCAACCCGCGAUUGGAAGAGGGACUGAAGACAAGCACAUAAAGAGGUCCAAGAAGCACAAAGGGAGAAGAGUUGUGUUCGGGCGGGAGUCCCUUUAUGCCUUGGGCAACUGUAACCACACGCCCCGUCCCUGGAGGAGCCGAAAGGGCGCCGUUGAUCCGCGAAUCACUUAUGGUGUAAGGAAAGAGUGCGGCUGCCAGAAGAGGCGAAAAGGACGGGGCUGUGGAAAUUAAAGGGACACUACACCGGGUGCUUGUGGUAUACUUUGUAUACGCUGUGUUGCUGCUUUGCAGACGGACCACGCUGGUCGGAUUGCUCUCCUGGGGAAGAGAGGAAGAGACAGUCAGCUGACGAAGGAAUAUUGUGGAGUUUCAUUUGAGGAAGAGUGGACACAGAGCCAUCAAGAGUGCAGUUAAUAGCAGUGGUUGACAACCAAGUGUGAGUAACAGCUGUGGUACUUAUCUGUGCAAUACUGGUACGAAGAGUUGUUUUGGUGUGUGCCUUUGUGUUUUUGAGGUCCCUGGCCCCACUGGAGAGGAAAGCGUGGGCGAGCCGCGGGUUGACCGGAAGCACGGACGAAGCACUUGGUAGGAAGCACCGUUCACCAGUAAAACAGUGGCCCUGUGGGAAAAAGGAAGCGCAGGUGAGCCAGAGGAGUGAUAACCAACACGCCGGGCCUGUGAAUAACACACAUCUCACUCUCAUUUGCGGUCCAGUUAUCGCCCAACCAUCCUCUCGAGGUCGUCGUAGCCAGGUGGCAAGGGCGAUCUAAAAAUCACGUGAAGUUGUAUAUGAGUGCUGUGGGUGAGUUUCACUGAUUGAUGGUGUUUACGCUUUACUUGCUGUGUGUAUGCUGUGCUUGUAGCGUUCAAACUGCCUAGCCUCCGACGAGUCACGAGACGACGACAUCCGUUGUGGCCUGGGUCCUAAGGAGAGCGAGAAAAUUGAGCCCUGUGCCCGGGGUGUGUCAACGAGAGCUUCGUUUGUCCAUAGAGCAGACAGUGGUGAAACCCAAAGCUCGUGGUGAGCGGAGCCCCGACGAAGGUUCGCCCCAACUCGUGACCCCGGUCGUGGAAGAAGGAGGGGGAGUUUGGGAAGCGUUCGGCUCCGUGUCAUCGGACCCACUAGUCCCUAUGACGCCCGGACAGCCGGAGUGGAUGGGCGAAGGAAUACGGUGCACCGACACUGUAGCGAAAAUCCACUGUUUGCAGCAAUCACCUAUCUGUACAAGUGAAGCUCUGUGUGCAUGAAGAUCCCCAGUGCUGUGAGUAACGUAACCUGUGAAGUAAACCUGUUCUGUGCUUAUAGCAAUUACAUACCUGUACAAGUGAAGCUCUGUGUGAGUGAAGAUCCCCAGUGCUGUGAGUAACGUAACCUGUGAAGUAAACCUGUUCUGUGCUUAUAGCAAUUACCUACCUGUACAAGUGAAGCUCUGUGUGAGUGAAGAUCCCCAGUGCUGUGAGUAACGUAACCUGUGGAGUAAACCUGUUCUGUGCUUAUAGCAAUCACCUACCUGUACAAGUGAAGCUCUGUGUGCAUGAAGAUCCCCAGUGCUGUGAGUAACGUAACCUGUGAAGUAAACCUGUUCUGUGCUUAUAGCAAUUACCUACCUGUACAAGUGAAGCUCUGUGUGCAUGAAGAUCCCCAGUGCUGUGAGUAACGUAACCUGUGAAGUAAACCUGUUCUGUGCUUAUAGCAAUUACCUACCUGUACAAGUGAAGCUCUGUGUGAGCGAAGAUCCCCAGUGCUGUGAGUAACAUAACCUGUGAAGUAAACUGUUCUGUGCUUAUAGCAAUUACCUACCUGUGCAAGUGAAGCUCUGGGUGAACGAAGAUCCCCAGUGCUGUGAGUAACGUAACCUGUGAAGUGAAACUAUCUGUGCUUAUAGCAAUUACCUACCUGUGCAAGUGAAGGCUCCGUGUGAAGCGAAGGUCCCCAGUCCCUGUCCCAAGUGGCCCUGGAGGCGAGCAGAAGAACUAUUAGUUUUAAAUUGCCCAUUCCCCUUUCCCCCUUUCCUUUUUAAAUAUUUAAUAAAGUUUAUUUUAAACGUA